UGCAGUGGAGGAAGGAGCAUACAAAAUUUGAUUUUAGACUAAUACUUAAGUAGAUAACGAAUAAAACGCGAUUAGAAUGAAAAGACGAUGAUAAGAAACAAAUUAAUGCUGUUUUAAUCGGAAUGCUAGAUAGUUUAUCUAAUACCAAUAUCUCGAAGUAAGGUUGAUGUCUCGAAUCAUUUUUGUGCAUCAGGCAUCGUCCCACAAAAAGAUCAUCAAUAUUAUCAAAGUAAUUUUCAGCGAUGGUACAGAUGAUCUUGACGAUGAAGAUGGCAUAUAAUAGGACUAAUACCCUGAUUAAUUUAUUUUUUAUUCGUUUUUUCACUUAACGAAAUAUUUGUUCAUAUAAAUUAAAUUGUGGUGUGAAUUUUUAGUACCCUGAAAAUUUUUUUUCUUACUCUGACCUAUGAUUGAUAAUAAAUAAAAAAAA